rnacentral:rRNA from 1 species
CGGCCUAUCAGGUAGUAGGUGGGGUAACGGCCCACCUAGCCUACGACGGGUACGGGCCCUGAGAGGGGGAGCCCGGAGAUGGGCACUGAGACAAGGGUCUAGGCCCUAAGGGGCGCGGCAGGCGCGAAGAUUCCGCAAUGCCCGAAAGGGCGACGGAGUGAACCCGAGUGCCACCCGCUGAGGGUGGCUGUUCCCCUGUGUAAAAAGCAGGGGGUAGGAAGGGGAGGGCAAGGCUGGUGGCAGCCGCCGCGGUAAAACCAGCUCCCCGAGGGGUUCCCACGCAUACUGGGCCUAAAGCGUCCGUAGCCGGCCCUGUAAGUCCGCAGUUAAAUCCGCCUGUAGACAGGCGGGCUGCUGCGGAUACUGCAGGGCUAGGGAGCGGGAGGAGCCGGGGGUAUUCCCGGGGGAGCGGUAAAAUGCGUAGAUCCCGGGAGGACCACCAGUGGCGAAGGCGCCCGGCUUGAACGCGUCCGACGGUGAGGGACGAAAGCUGGGGGAGCAAACCGGAUUAGAUACCCGGGUAGUCCCAGCCGUAAACGAUGCCGGCUAGGUGCUGGCCAAGGUUUCGACCUUGGCCAGUGUCGAAGCGAAGGCAUUAAGCCGGCCGCCUGAGGAGUACGGCCGCAAGGCUGAAACUUGAAGGAAUUGACGGGGGGGCACCACAAGGGGUGAAUGCCUGCGGCUUAAUUGGACUCAACGCCGGGAAUCUUACCGGGGGCGACAGCAGGAUGAAGGUCAGGCUGAAGACCUUACCAGACGCGCUGAGGGGUGGUGCAUGGCCGUCGCCAGCUCGUGCCGUGAGGUGUCCUGUUAAGUCAGGCAACGAGCGAGACCCCCGCCCCUAGUUGCCAGCGGCCUCCUUCGGGAGGGACCGGGCAAACUAGGGGGACCGCCUCCGAAGAGGAGGAGGAAGGUGGGGGCUACGGCAGGUCAGUAUGCCCCUAAUCCCCCGGGCCGCACGCGGGCU